UAAUAGUGGGAAGAAGGUGUGUCUGUCUCUCUUGCUGGUUUCUUUUUUUCUGCUUGCAGCAGCUAUGAAUGGCAGCACUGCCAGGCCACACUGCCUUGGAGCCAACUGAGUAUGGGCUGAAACCUCCAUAAACUGAUCCUUGGGUCACAGGAGCCAAGGUCAAUAGCUGGGACUGUGUUAGCCAGGUGGAAGCUCUGCCGCACAGAUCUAUGUCAGGUCUGUAAUCUGAAUCUCACAGCUAAAUUCACUCCCGGGCAACAGUCAUUAACAGAACAACCUCAAACAGGAACAUUGCUGAAGGCCCUGAUGGCAGUCGGCCUGGUGUGCUGUGCCUUUCUCCUGUGCGUGGUGUUCCUUCCACCCCUCUGUCCUCCGGAAGCCAUUAUCCAGAGGACAGCAGAGCUCGGUUCCCAGCACAGGGAAAUUGUUUGCAUUUAACAUGGCCCCUAAAUGGGCAAAAUCCUAUUAACACUAGAAUACACAUUUUAGAUAAUCCAUUUUAGGAAUAUCCUCAAAGCCCACAGGUUACCCAGCUGUAGGCCACAAGAAGACCAUUAUCAGUCACUUAGUUCAUAUGCUCAGGUUCCCUUGCUCGCCACUGAUCAAAUUAGAGGAAGAAAUUUAUUUUGGGAGAGAGAAAAAUGGAUUUAUUUAAAGAUAGCUCUGAGAAGAUGGAGGGACCCAUUGGUCCAAAUCACAAUUGCAGCUUGUACAGGUGGGCAAGGGCCUUUACAGUAAGGAACAGAGGACUUGGGGGCACAGAGGGUCAGUGCAGAGCUCAUACUUGCUUUAUCACUUCUGGCUAUCUUUAGCUCCUGGUUCUCUUUCCAGUAGAAGUGAAACUGGGCUCCAAUGAGGUAGUGAAAUAGGGGAAUGAAACUCCUGAUCUACUCUAUGUCCAGAACAAGUCCAUGUUCUCUAAAAUCAAAGAAUGAACUUUAGGAACAACAGAGGUUAAGGGCAGAAAUAUUUAUUGUGGGAAAGAAAACUUCUGAGAGAGACAGAAGGAGUCCCAAGUGGGUUGCCAAAGAUUCUAUAUUUUUGAGGAUUUUUACAGAGUAAAACCAUGAGAUGAGGUGGGUCUAAUAGCUCAGACAGAAUUGAUUAAAUUGGGAACAAAUGAGAAGGCAAGUCUUGUAGAAAGUGGGCAUUCUUAGAGAGCAGUGACUCCUCUAUAGGGGAUUGGGAUGGUGACUCCUAGUUUCUCAGUGUGAUCCAGAUUUAAUCCUUAAGGAUUAUACUUAAGGGUGUGGUUGCAUUUGUUCUGUUUUGAGAUCUGGCCCACAGCAAGAGUUGUGUGUCUCCUCCAAGCACAUCCGGUGUCUGUGCCAGCUUCUUCGAGGGCCUACCUCAGUCUUACGGCCUAUAAUAUAUCCAACUAGCUCAGUGUCCUGUAACAGAAGAAAUUGAAACUAGAUAAAACGAAGACAAAGACAUUGAGAUUUUUAAAAUUAGACUUAACUUUCCCUAGCACAGCUUUUGCCCGCUGAUCUUUGCCUCUGUCCUCUCUUACUUUUCUCUCUGCCUGUGUUGUGGCCAUAAUGAAAACACCUCCUCUUAAGGAAGGAGAUCAGGGCUGUGGCAAAGUGCAUAAACAACUGGGCAGGAUGUGUCAAAGUUCAGAAAAACUCUGAGGGCAUGCAGAGAACCCAGGAUCCACAAUGACGCCAUGUCUCUUUAGCACUGUACCCAGAACCAAUCAGAGGGCGGUUUCUUCAAUCUUUCUUUUGAAUCUGGUGCUGUCUGCAGGGCCAAUCAGAAAUGUGCUAUUUUCAGUCCUUCAUUUACAUAUGGCAGGAAGUCAAUUGAGUCUUUCCAUGGGAAAGUGUAAAUAGGCACUAGCCCAAAUAUGACUGUCCCAUGAUGGGGGAAGCCAAUUUAGGAACUCACAAUUAUCCAUGCUCACUGCCUUUGCUGUAUGUCUUGUCCAGUUCUUUGUUCAGGACAUCAAGGAGCUGGGCAGAACCAGCCCUGAGUCCCUUCUUUUAUGCUCAGCUUGGUGCCUCAGGGUCUGGGAUCUUGUGAGCCAUGGGUCUGCUGUAUGUUAGGGGGAGAGCAGAGCGAGGCUACAGGGUUGCUGAGAGGAGGGGUGUCACUGGCUAUGUAGGUCCUUAUUUUAGUAGAAAUGGAAAUUAAAACUAAAGCAGAAAUUUACUAAAAAUAUACUUUAAUUGAAAAAUUAGAGGCAUGAUAUAAAAGGAGGCUUGAGAGAGCAGUCUCUGAUGCAGAGGUUCAGGCUGCCCACCAACAAACGUGAGAGGCCAGAGCUCAAGGGCCAGCUGGUGGCUGGUGUCCAGAGCUGGGGGACACCAGAACUGAAAUCAUGUGUAUUGUGGCUUUGUCUUUCCUGGAAUCCAGGUGACCAGGAUUUGGGACAAUGGCUAGAGGCUUCUGGCUGUUGCUGAAAGUCCUGGGAAUCCUCUCACCUUGGUGUCCUCAGUACUACAGGCGGAUGAGAUUUGUAAAUUCAGGGCUACCAUCUGAAAGCUCCUAGACGGGCACUCCCUGAGUGAUUGCACAGGUCCACACAGAGCAAAAGAGAUUAGAUUCGAGAUUUACAGCAACAGAGGACACCCAAUGAAGGUCAAGCUUUCAUUUUUCUUUUUUACUUGCCUGUGGGAAAUCUGUAGGCCAAGUGGAGCCAUUUUUAGAGCAAAAAUGGCUUAUUUUUGCUGGCUGUCCCAGGAGUAAACAUAAGUCAGCUUUUAAUGAGCAGCAGUAAUAGUCCCUGUAUCAUGACUGCAUCAGAUCACAGCUUCCGUGUGUGUCUGGAGCUCUCCAGCCUGCCACCCUCAGGAACUCUCAGCACCGUCUGGCCCUGGCAGUCUCAAGCACCAGCUCACUCCUCACCCGACUCAGGAAAGGCAAGAAGUGAAACUGUUAGGACAGAGCUACCAUUUCGAAUGCUGGAUUUUAUUGUUCCAUAAGUCAGCUCCAGAUCUCAACAGAGAGCCUGGCAUGGUUCCUCUGAGUUUCUGCUCAAGAUCCCGCCUCUGUCACAGUUUGUAUGACCAUAUGGUCAGUGUGUCCACCAUAGGAAAGAGGAUAUCUACUUCUGGCACCGAGAUGCCCUAGUGCUGCUCCUGAGUACCCACUGGUCAGAAAUUGUGUGUGUGUUUUGACGCUUCUACCCACAGCCAAAUAUUUUCUUUGUUAAGCUAAAUUCAUUCUAUAAAAUUGUGCUCCAACAAGAUUAAGUAGGCAAGUGUUAACAACCUUUUAUACUUGGCCAGGUUCAACGUGUGUGUCACAGACUCACAGCUCGAAAUGGAGCAAGCUUGCCUUCAGCAGAUAAACCACUGAGUAGGAUACGCAGGGCCUGAACUCACACUACACUAGUUUUUACGCUGUUAGUGGGUAUGUUUGGCAGCUCUGCUCUAUGUGUAAUUCUCUCUGUCCACCCCUGGAAAUGCUGUUCUAUUCUGAUUAGUUGGCGAACAACUAAACUCUCUUGUUUCUGGGUUAUUGAAAAACUAGAUAUGAAUUAAGACUGGUUUAGGUAAAAUAUAAUCUCUUUCCUGUCAUAUCAAAGUGUGCAUUCUCAGACAUGUUUCUAUGAUUUCCUUUGUUUCUUGUCUAUCAAAGUAAAAUGGUUGCUACUUCACUGUAAAAUGUUUUGAUCUUUUUAGCGAAUGGUUCCAUGCAACUCUCUAGAAGUAUUUUUUUUAAAUGUGAGAUUCAGUAAUGGUUUUCUGACAUCUGAAAAGAGACUUAUGAGUCUGAAAAAGAGGAAAGUUAAAAAUGAAAAAUACUGCUUUGUAGUCCAACGACAGAAGAGUUAUUGAUGAUUUUUCCCUGGAGAAACAUUUGGAAAAUGGUACCAGCCAAGAGGUAUGUAUAUCAACACUUAGACUGAAAUGGAUGUUAAAAACUAAUCAGUGGCUUUGCAAAUGAGAAAGGACAUUUUUAGAUGGAAUGAAAAUCUUGUAAAUGGGAUCCAGAUUCCAAAGUGUGCAGCACCCUGGUAGAAAGGGCGAGAAGUGUAUGGUUCUCCUGGACCCAGGCCCUGUCUCCCACCAGAGGCUGUGGGAGCCCAGGAAAGUGGCUUAGCUUCGUGAGCCCGA